rnacentral:rRNA from 1 species
CGGCGGACGGGUGAGUAAUGCCUAGGAAUCUGCCUGGUAGUGGGGGACAACGUUUCGAAAGGAACGCUAAUACCGCAUACGUCCUACGGGAGAAAGCAGGGACCUUCGGACCUUGCGCGAUUGAAUGAGCCGAUGUCGGAUUAGCUAGUUGGCGGGGUAAAGGCCCACCAAGGCGACGAUCCGUAGCUGGUCUGAGAGGAUGAUCAGCCACACUGGAACUGAGACACGGUCCAGACUCCUACGGGAGGCAGCAGAU